rnacentral:pre_miRNA from 1 species
UGCCCUCAUUUAUACUUGUGUCUUCAAUGGGUUUACACAGGUGGAACCGAGGGCAGA